AGCUCGUGUCGUGAGAUGUUGGGUUAAGUCCCGCAACGAGCGCAACCCCUGUUGUUAGUUGCCAUCAUUAAGUUGGGCACUCUAGCGAGACUGCCGGUGACAAAUCGGAGGAAGGUGGGGACGACGUCAAAUCAUCAUGCCCCUUAUGUCCUGGGCUACACACGUACUACAAUGGCUGUUACAGAGGGAAGCUAAGCCGCGAGGUGGAGCAAACCCCCAAAGGCAGCCCCAGUUCAGAUUGCAGGCUGAAACUCGCCUGCAUGAAGUCGGAAUUGCUAGUAAUGGCAGGUCAGCAUACUGCCGUGAAUACGUUCCCGGGCCUUGUACACACCGCCCGUCACACCAUGAGAGUCUGCAACACCCGAAGUCAGUAGUCUAACCGCAAGGAGGGCGCUGCCGAAGGUGGGGCCGAUGAUUGGGGUGAAGUCGUAACAAGGUAGCCGUAUCGGAAGGUGCGGCUGGAUCACCUCCUU
rnacentral:rRNA from 1 species